UUUGGAUGCAUCUCUCCCAUCUCUGUGUGUGUGCAGUCUGUUUUGAUUUCUUUCUGAGAAAAGGAGAGGUUUUCCCAUGCGUUUUGUGUGGGGUCAAUAUUAAGACCCAUAGUGAUGCGCUUCAGUGGCGUCUACUGCGCACAGGGCACAGCAGAGCAUCAGCUCUUUGGAAAGAGAGACAUCGUCUAUGUUGUGCAGUGCUUGAAAUGGCAGACAUAGGAUCAGACUGAAGCCAAGGCCUUGUGAAUACCAGAAACAAGGAUGCUGUGCCUGGAGACAGAGAGCAGAUAUGGAAAGAACAGGUGCCCAGCUUGAGAGCAAGUGCUGAGUCACUGGGAAUGGCGGCACAGCAGCUAGAGAGAUCUGGGCUCCUGCCAGUGCAGGGCAGCAAGAACAAACCUGGAGUGCCUCUUGGCAGUUUGUACUACAUAUAGUUAGCUGCCUCAGCUGAAUGGACUCCUGCUGCUUCUGCACUGCUCCAAAACACGUAGGGUGGCUUUGCUUCCACCUCAUCCCUAGAGCAAUGAGAGUGUUGUGUGUUUGUUGAGGUCAGCGACAUUUUCUUGAUCUACAUGCUCCUUGUCAUACUUAACCAGAGGCUAAAGACCUAGGAAACCCUGCAGUAAUUUUACAUGGUGGAAAGUGUGUGAGAAAUUUAUGCUUGCCUUUACAGCUUGACUCAAUGAGAGCUGACAUCAGACUUACUAUCCCUGUAUAUAUUUGUAGACAGAAACACAGCCACUUACAGCAUACCUAUCUGGACCCCAUCUUCAAACAUUCAGACUCAGAAGGUCUGAGAUGAAAGUCUGACAUCUGUAUGCUAACAAGAAUAUCUCCAGGGUUUGGGAAAUGACUCCAUCAGGGCAAGAUGAGGACCUGAGUUGUCCUCUCCAUCACCCCCAGAAAAGCCAAAUGAGGUUGUGUUUAUCUGUAUCGGCAGCAUUGGAACAUUAGAAAAGAAGGAUCUGAGGUUUACUGCUCAGUCAGCUUAGCUAAAUUGGUGGAGAACAAUUACGACAGACAGACGUUUGACAGUGACUUCUGACCUACACACACACACACACACACACACACACACACACACACACACACACACAUUCACAUUGCAUGUGCUUAUCCAUUUCUGCCCUCAAAUUUUCCUUUCCAGAAAGAUCUGCCAUUUAUGGACUUCCUACAUGGCUUAUGUAACACCCAGAGCUUUUUCUAUUUUAGCCAGUUGGGAAGAAUACAAACUGGAAUAAGGAAGAGUUAAUUCAUAGCUAGCCCAUCUGCAACAUUUUCAAUGAAAAGAUGUCCAGUGUGCGCCCAAUAAGGAGUUAUGUAUAGUAUAUCUCUUACAUAAUUAAGAACUUUCUUGAUAGGAUAUUGAGGUGCAGUUAGGUAGGGUCAUUUUGGGGCUCCUUUUAAAUGUAUUUUACUUAUUAUAUUUUCAUUUGUUUUCGUGUGUGUGGGUACAUACUCAUAUGUAUAUAGGCGCAUGUGUGUAUACUUAUGCGUGUGUGUGUGUGUGUGUGUGUGUGUGUGUGUGUGUGUAGGCCAAUGGUCAACUUUGAAUGUCACCCAUCAAGUGCUGUAUACCAUAUUUUUUUGAAUCAGGGUCUCACACCAGUCUGGAAUUCACAGAGUAAACGAGGCUAGAAGGCCAGCAAGAACCAGGAAUUUACCUGCCUAUUUGCUCUGGCACUGGGUUAUAAAUAUGGACAACACUGGACUCUUUUUUUAAGGAAUGUUCUAGGGAUCAAACUGGGGUUCUUCUGCUUGUUCAGCAAGCACUUUACUGACUGAGAUAUCUCUGCAUAGUUGGGGCUUCUUUCCAAAAAUAGGCUGUGUGUCCAUGGAGAUUGUCAUCAUUGUACCUAGUAAAUGCAUGAGAGUCUGUGGGUGCAUUUUUCAUAUUAAAAAAUAUUCAGCAAGUCAGACAAAGGGCAUGGCAACCUUUUGCUAGCUGAAGAGUCUAGAAACAAACAAUCAGCCAAAGCCAAGUAAAUGAGAAAUGAGCCAUGUAUCAUCCAAAUGUGCGCUGGUAGUGAUGAUUCAGUCUCUGCCCGCAACUAGCAUCUCAGUACACAAAUUUUCCUGAUUAAGGAAGUUAUCUGCAAUGAAAUGCAGCAUGGACAUGUGAAGGAGUGGAACUUUUAUUGGCAUUUUAUUGAGUAAGUGGCAUUUUAUUGAGAAUGUAGAGGGCAUGAUUGCUGUUCAUUGACCCUCGACUUGUAAAGAGAGGCCAGGUCACAGAAGCCUGUAGAUCUAUCUUGUUUUAUUUCCAAACAAAUUUUAUUUUUAUUUUGCCCUCUUGGGCUUGGCUUUCUAAUAAUCUGCACUGCAGAAGAGAGAUGAAAAGGCACAUAGCUUUUUAUAGAGUGUGAGCAAAGAGCACUCGCUUCCUGUCCAGCCCUCAUGUCCCUUUCGGAAUAUGAACAGAUGGGUGGUUAUUGCAUGAAUAUAUUGUUUUUCCUUCCUUAAGCUGAUGGAUGAUAGAGGAGAUAGGACAUAGCAAUGCACUUACGAGGCUCAUUCCCACAGAAGAGUUUGCUGUCCUAUCAGGAAUCCAUGGCUGGCAUUGCUAGUUGAUCACAGAACUCUUUCCUACUUUGACACACCAUGGAAACUGCAGCACAGUGUCUCAGUCGCUCCUUAACAAUGUAUUGAAGAGGACAAGCUAUCUGGAUCUAUUUUCCACAAAAAGUGAAAGUAGAGGACCAGUUCCCUGCAUGACUAGGAGAUGUAAUUAAACACGCCACUUCCACUCGGUUAUUCUGCAAUGAUGGCCACCAGGUCUUGGAGAUUGUAGAGGCCAAAUGCACAACACUCUACAUUCUUCUCCAUUUUUGUCAUUCAGAAUAAUGUUUCUCAGAACCUGUGUGCUCCGAAAUAUCUGGAAGUCUUCCGUUGAGUAAUGUAGGCCACAAUGGGGUUCACUUGAUGUCAACACAGGCAAUCUGCAGUCAUAUCUUCUAAAAAACAUUAGCUCUUUGGAGUGAAAUUUUCACAGAAAGGACCCACAAAAUCUGUACAUUUGUUGUUAGUUCUUUAGGCUCAGAACUGAAAGGUGACACCUGAAAUAAGGUUGGGUUCUAGUUUUGCUCAACCCUGAUUUACACAGAGUCAGAGUUUGAAUGGGAAAUGUCACCCACCAGCUUAUGAGUUUUGCAACUCGGUCCCCAGCUGAUGGGUGGAACAGUGGAACUGCAGCCCGGUAGCUGAAGUGGUUUCCUGGGGAUGGAUGUUAUAGGUGAUAUCUAUUUCUGGCCUGAUCUUGUUGCUUCCUGUUCAGCAAGAUGUGAACAAGUCUUAUGCCACAAACUCCCACCAACACAGACUGACCUACUUCUAUGACCUGCUCUAGCCAUCUUGCCUUUGCUACCAUGAUGAGCUGCAGCCUUGCAACUGAGACUGAGCAAACCCCUCCUCCCUUAACUUGCUUCUGUCAGAUACUUUGUCACAGCGAGGAAAAGGGUCUUAACAUAGAAACUCAUCAGUGCCACACCCACAAAAAUAAAUUCCUGACAUGUGUUGGAUGAAUAGAUGCAUGAAUUCAAUUUUACUUUAGGAAAUAGCUCCCAGAGGCCUCCUGAAAGUCUACAUAGCCAUUGGAAACACUUAACAAUGUAUUCUCAAAUUCCCAAUCCAAAGUCAAAUUAUGUCUGUUGGAAUGUAUUUGGAGACAACCUGGUGAGCAAAUAUUUCUGCAGUGGGUAACUGCAAAAAGUCUAGCUGUCAGCUCACUCAGUAGCCCCACCAUGUUCCACAGCUCCCCUGGAACACUACUUGCUGCCAUGCAUGAAAGAACAUAGAUUGUAGCAGAUGCUUGCAUGAGAGGUGUGGACCCAAAUCUAGCCCCAAGUCAAGUCAUAAAUAGACAUUUAUAAAAUAGAUCAUACUUCUUCAGUGACAAUACCCUCACCAAGCUUCUUGGUACCCAAGGUCAAUGUUGCCAGGUGCCUUUUAUAUAGCCUACUGGCUCCCGUGAUAUAUUUAAAAAUUUUAAUGCCAUCUGCUAAGCAUUCAGUUAUCUACAUAACCCAAUAGGACAGUGGAGUUGGCCCAGAAGUGACCCAUUACCUACUUUCUCCUAGGAUAAGGGCAUCAUUCAAAGCCAUAGGAAUAUAAUGUGAAUGAUGUCAUACUAAAAUAUGCCCAGCUUUUAUCUGUUCAGCAAGUGUGUAAUGGGGUUUGCAACUUGCUAGGCUUUCUGAAGAUGUAUGUGAGAGUCAGCCAACUGUGGCUUGGUCUCUUUGAGCCAAUUCUAAUCAAGCAAUGGGAUCUGUGCCUCUCCUGUACCAGGUUUGGAAAACCCCUUCCAAAGUGUGGUAGAGGCUCAGAGCACUACCUUCAACUUUAUGAAAUUCAUAGGUUAUGAGAAAACAAUGAUAAUGUAGCCAUUAUUUAAGCAAUUUGAAAAUCUGCUAUGGUAUACAUGUACUUUGGCAGGAGUACAUCCAGAGCAUAACAUAACAUAACAUAACAUAACAUAACAUAACAUAACAUAACAUAGAAAUGAUGAUGAGCAUGGAGAAUAUUUCAAGAGACUAGCAAUAUCUAUCAUGUGAUGGAUGCAAGCUAUCUGUGAUCUACUGCUAAUGAUGCCUUGGCAUUGCUCACAUGUUUCUGUUUUGUUCUUUCCCUUUGAGCUAGUAAGAAUGAUGGAAAGUUGAGGCUAGUGAAAGGAGUUGCAAUUUUCCCUUAUGACAUUCACAAAUAACCUGAUUACUAUGUCAGCAUCACAUGGGAAUUCUCGACAAUAAAUUUGGUAUUUGUA